rnacentral:rRNA from 1 species
UACGUAGGGUGCAAGCGUUGUCCGGAAUUAUUGGGCGUAAAGAGCUCGUAGGCGGCUUGUCGCGUCGGCUGUGAAAACCUGGGGCUCAACCCCGAGCCUGCAGUCGAUACGGGCAGACUAGAGUGCGGUAGGGGAGACUGGAAUUCCUGGUGUAGCGGUGAAAUGCGCAGAUAUCAGGAGGAACACCGGUGGCGAAGGCGGAUCUCUGGGCCAUAACUGACGCUGAGGAGCGAAAGCAUGGGGAGCGAACAGG